rnacentral:lncRNA from 1 species
UUUACUAUUUUUUUGUAGAGCCGUUCACAGUUUAGACUCAUGCGGGCCAGGAGUGAUUUGACUUGCAAUUUAAGAUUGUGCAUCAAUGAGUAGUUUGAUUUGCAGUUUAGGCUCGUGUGUCGAGGAGUGACUUGACUUGCAGUUUAGGCUCAUUAUCAAAGAGCAUUUUGACUUGCAGUUUAGGCUCAUGCAUCGAGGAGCAUCUUGACUUGCAU